AAGAAGCUGAAGAGAAGGAGGAGGACCUGUGAACCAGAGAUGCUCAGUCAUUAUUAGCGAGGAAAUACGGAGAGCCCCUGUGUGCAGUGGUGACUACUCAUGCAAAAUGUCACACAGCCAAUAUUUAACACAGCCAGUAUUUCACACAGCCAAUAUUUAUUAGUGACAUAGCAUAUACCAGUUAUUACUCUAGGUCAUGAGAAUGGAGUGAUAAAUAAAAUGAAUCCAGUCGCCAUCACUAUAUGCCAUGUAACAUUUUGCAAUGACUUGACUGUGUACCAGGCCUAUCAUUUUCAGUAUGCAAUUUCAAUAAUGAUCCUAUUGUAUCUGUGGUGUUUAAAAAUAUAUACAUCUCUGGAAUCUAAAAUUGAGAGGAUAUAAGUAAAACCCAGUAUCCCAAAUGUAGUGCUAGAAAUCAGAUUGUAGUUUAAAUCUGAGCAUGUAGAAAGUCCCUUUCUCCUAUGUCAGCAGGUGCCUUUUGUCUGAGGUUUGUUUAGGUAUACUGCAUUGUUAGACAUAAGCUAGUGUUUCUGCCCUAUGUUUUCAGAAUGACAAUUCUUUAUGAAACUAAUAAAACAGAAGACAAUAGCAAAAUCAUGAUGAAGACACUAAUUGCUUUAGAAUCAAGGAAUAGGAAAAAUAAUGUGAGCUGCAGUUAAAUGGAUCAUAAAAAAUUAAAAUGAAAAUAUUUUUGAGUGUUUAUUAUGUGGUCAGUGCUAAGAAGUCAUUAUUUAAUUUUACACUUAAAAAUAAUCCUGUGAAGAUGAUGCUGUUAUUAAAUGCAUUUGAUAGAUUAC
rnacentral:lncRNA from 1 species